ACCAGGGUGGCCGAGUGGUCUAAGGCGAUGGUUUUAAGUUAUCUAUUUCUUAAACACCAUUAUCGAGAGAUGCCAGGGUUCGAACCCCUGUCCUGGUA
rfam:Trichoderma gamsii strain T6085 Scaffolds0129.1, whole genome shotgun sequence.